rnacentral:lncRNA from 1 species
CGCCAUACGUCUAAAAUAUAUAAGGCAGUGAUAAAAGACAACUAGGAGUAUCAGAGCAUGAUAAGUGUCUAAGUUCAACGACAAGGGAGUAAGGAUAAAACUGAAAUCCACUAAAGAAACAUAAGGUAGUACAAAGGAAACCCCAAAAUAAGUGCUAAAAGUAAAUACAUAGGUGGUCUCUAUACAUGGAUACAAAAUCUCUAACUCUCUCAACUACCAAAAAGAAAGAGUAAACCACCUAGGCAAAGAACCGCUCCUCGCUAGCUAGCUAUGCGAUCCCCUUGCCACGACCCCGUGCCUCCGCCGGUGCCGAAGGCUCUGAAAGAAACCACAAAAAGAGGGCGUGAGAACUAUUAAAAAUAGUUCCCAGUGGGCAAUUACUGACUUCAGUGAACUGCGCCACAAGGCCCAAAAGCUACAAGGAAGAGGUCAGUGACAAAAUGUACUAAAGCAAAAGGAAAGUAAAAUGUAACUCGCUAUAGCAUAAUGUCUCUACUUAGCAUGAUUUGUAUAAGUAAUAAAGCAACUAUAACAUGAAUGCACAUGGAUGUGUAUAACAUGAAUCAGCAUAGGUAUGCAACCCUCACGAUGUCCAUAAUACAAAUAGUAAAGAUAUCACUGUUUACUAUUCUAGCCAAAGUCCCGUCAAUAUACAAAGUCAUCAUCUGUCCUCAUGUCAUAAUGAAUACUCAAAGUCAAAUCUGAAGAGACCCACCCGAAGGCUGUCUAUGGCCCUGAGACCCACCCGUAGGCUGUCUGGCCGGUGCCGAGCCUAAUGGCCCCGUGGUAGUCAUCAUCCCCACCCUAGGAAUGAGCCUGGCCCACGGCAAUCCACUUUGGCGCCCAAUCCCGCACGGCGAAUAUGAAUCGCGAUGGCUAUCUCCGGAGUGCCGGCUUGUAGGGAGCGACCCUCACAAGCAUGUGCGAAUGAGCACAAUGGCAAGUAGUCAUACGUCCUGUCACAAGUACCAAGUCCUCAUGUCUAAAAUAUGGAAUGUAUCGAAUGUCCCAAUGGCCUAUCUCUAUGUCAUCAUGUCUCUAACAUGGAAUAUAUAGCAGAUGUUCGAUGACCUAACAUUAUAUCUCUAUGUUGCAGUUUCAUAGUUUACUAGUUUCGAGUGCCCCUUGAUGACACUUCAUGCUACUAAGUCAAGCCUAGUAUACUGUUUCCCAUUAUCCAAAUAUGAGCUAAUUUAGCAUUCUAGACGAGCAUCCCAUUCGUCCACACGAACACUCCUCACAUGCAUGAAAAUAACCCUGCUCGCUCUACUAUAUAGAGUGAAAUUUAACUUACACAUAAGGCAUGCAUUUUAAGUGUCCUAAAAUUCACAUAAAUUCCAUUUAGCAUAGAAAUGCAUUUAAAAAUACUUUACAACAAGUAUAAAGGGCAUAGGGGCCAUUUUGCCCCGUUUCCACGAAGCCAAACCCACCAAAAUCGACUUCUUCGUUUCGCUGAACGAAGUGAUCCACAAGCUUCCUAGUACCCUAGAAGCAUCAAAAGUAGGGUUACCCAAACGAAACGAAGAGCCUAUAGCUCAAUCAUUAACCAUCUAGCAAAAGGGGUAAAACUCACCUCAAGAGCAACAAUCUCCUCUCAAGCUCCAAAUGAGAGCUAGAACCCUUCCAAUCUAUCCUAGAGGAAGGUUCUAAUCCAAAAGAUUGAGCCUCAAAAGCCCUAAAUCAAAAACGCCCAAAAACAACCCUAAGUGUACAAUCUAGGGUUUCAUCUCAAAGAGAACCUCAAAUCCAAAAUCUAGAGGGAGAGAAUAAGCUACCAACCUCUUAGAAGCUUCCAACAAGGUUCAAAGUCCUCAAGGUCGAAGAAUCUCUCCUCCAACAAGCUCCAAACCCAAGCUCUAAUGGUGGAAAUGCCUUCAACACCCAAAAAGGAGCAAAAAGAGGUGUUUAAUCUCUAAAAACCCAAGCAAAAUCAAGGAAAAGGAAUGAGGAGGUGUGGAGAGCUCCCUCACCUUUCUCCUUGCUGGUGCCAAGCUCAGGGAAGACCCCUAGGGCGUGGGGAUACAAAUAGAGAGGCUACAAUCGCGAAUACACCCCUGCAGUUCAAACUACUCAAAAACUGCCUCCUUGUACCGGUACACGGGCUCUUGUACCAGUACAAGCCCAACGAAAAUCACAACCCGAGGCUCGGGUUGGCGGGUUCAGCGGCUCUGUACCGGUACAAGCCGAUGGCUGUACCGGUACAACUAUCAACCCUUGUACCGGUACACCCAUCAACCCUGUACCGGUACAAGGCCCUGAAAACUGAAAUCCGAGAGCAGCCUAAGCCCAACUUUUUGGUGACCUUAGCGCUACUUUAAAAACCUCGAUUCUCAGGAUACGCGCCAUAGGUCGGAACACAGUCAACGACCCACCAGAAAAUCUGGAAAAGCUCAGGACACAGUCCAAACACUCGAACCUCGCAAUUUGCAAAGGUCCAGUGUGCUACAGGUUACGAUGGCAUCGAUCCCGUCAUGUGCGAGUGGGAGAUGUUGGCAUUCGGUUAAAUCGAAUCGGGUACGCCCAUAAGCGGGUUCGAUCCGACGGAUAUUAUGUUAUCUAAUUGGAUUGGAAUUAAUCUCGCUUUCAAAUUGAAAAGUUAGUUAAAGAUAAAUCCUAGUCAUAUUAGGAUAACAAUUAAUAACCGUUUUGGCCUUAUCUCUAACGCUAUUAGGAUUUUGGAAUCCCUAUAAAUAUGCGGGCGAUCCCACAUAACAAAAGGUACAAGAACGAAAAAAGAAAAGAGAAUAAGAAAACAAAAGAGAGAAACCACAUCCUCCAUUAACCUAUUAUUCUAGAGGGACUUGAACGGUGGAUUUGUGAUCGUGCUCGUUUGUAGUUCGAUCCAUUGCGAGUUUGGAACGUGAGAAGAUUUAAUCAAGGACGAUCAAAGGACACGUGAAUCAACCUCGACGAUCCGGGCUCAUCGCGUUAUAGCGCGAAUCGCUUCCGCAAAAAGGUAUGAACGAAUACUUCCGCUGCGUUCUACAUUUUACCUCACUUGGGUGCUCACAUUUUAUCUCAUGCAUACAUAUAGGGUUAAACAUUCAUAGGGGUUCUCAACCAUCUCAUUAGACAAAUUGUACUCACAAUAUGCGACAUCACAUUAUUCUCAUUACAUAUACCCUACUAUGCAUGCAACAAUGUAUAUAACAUAUGCUCAAUUGAAUGACACAUUAGGCAUAGAAGGAAGUUCAACGAGUUUGGAUAGUACCACCCACCUCGUAGGUUCUCAAAGGUGCUCCGACGAUUUUCUUGGGAUUUUUAGACACCCGGUUCGCUACCUGCGAGUUAACGAAGCCAAUUAGGCUUAUUUGGCCGUAACUUUACAUCGGCUUUUCGUAACGUUAAUCCGAGCACACCAACGCGUCGGAAAUACCCCCAAUUAGAUUUCUAGAGGGUCAAUUGCACUUUAGAACCCUCGCAAGCAAAAGCCCCAAUUUGGGUGCCCUGGCUCAUAACAUACAUCAAACCUAGGGUUUGAUCUCAUUGGGAAGCAAAAGAAGCUUCAUUCUACGCUAAAGACUCCACAAAAAUCAUCUUUAGUUCAAUCCAAACCCUAGUUUGGAUUCUACCAUGAGAGGGGUUGAAGCUCUCCUUCAAGCUUCACCUUCCACACCAUUCCAUGGUUUUGAUCUCAAAAUGAAGCAAAAGAUAGCUUCAAACACUCUAUAGGUUCUAUUAAAACCAUUUCUAGGUCCAUCCAAACCCUAGUUUGAGCUUUACCACUAUUGGGAUUCAAAGCUUACCUUGUAAGCUUUCCUUUUCCAAGCUAGGGAAGGAGAGGAGGGGUCUUCUUCUCCUCCUUGCCUUCUUCUUCACCUUCUUCCUCUUCUUUUCUUUUCUUCUUCUUGUCUUCUUCUUCUCCUUCUUGUCUUCUAGAGAGAGAAAGAGAGAUGAGAGGGGGAGUGUGAGGGAGAGAAUGAGAGGAAAAGCCCUCAAAACCCCCCACUUAACCAUUGGGUUGCACAAAUGCAAAUAGGCCCCUCAACUUUCACUUUAUUGAACUGCUUGAACUGGGCAGUUUUCGGGUUCGGGGACUGGUCUCCCGACUUGGGACCGGUCCCAGAGAGCUCUCCCGCAGCUCAGCGGGGGCCUUCGCACGAGGCAACCGGUCUCUCCGAGGGAGACCGGUCUCUCGGGGACCGGUCUCUCCCCGGAGGGACCGGUUCCCGAGAGCUGGUUUUCUGGGACUUAGCCGAUUUUCAGCUUUUCUCAUUUCUCACGCGUUCGGGGACAGGUCUCUCCCACCAAGGACCGGUCCCCGAGAGCUCAAAAACUGCAGUUUGAAGAUUUUUGAUUCUUUAGCUCUCGAAAACCUCCCACAACGCACUUUUGAUCAUUUUAACACCUUCGGACUUUUCGAAGUGUACCACCCUCGCACUUUGGUCAAUUUGACUAAAGUUCGAUAUUUAUUUUCCGAAUUUUUGGUAUAUUACACCCCGUGUAAGGAAGUGAAUUCUCGAAAUCCGAGAGUUGUACUUCGUCCAGGAUCGACUAUUUGUCGAGUGAGUAUCCUUCGGAAAGGCUAAAGAUAUCCAAAACACGAAAAGUGCAUUGGAAACGUGUCCGCGAGAGCAGAUAUGCAGAAAUCUGGACUCAGCAGAUUUUGCUCUCGGGGACCGGUCCCUGGAAGGGAGGACCGGUCCCCGUAGCUGAUGGUUGCGGGGGAGGUUGAUGCAACUGGUCCCUGGCUGAGGGGACCAGUCCCCGUGUGCGACGUCAGCGAGAGAAGGCCAAAAUCGGCUAAGUCCUGAAAAUCGAGCUCUCGGGGACCGGUCUCUCAGGUGAGGACCGGUCUCCCGGGGAGAGACCGGUUCCCGAACGUGAAGAGGCCCUCUGGCCGCCAGGACUGCUCUCGGGGACCGGUCCCAGGUCGGGGAGACCGGUCCCUCUGGGCGCAGAAUGCCCAGUAAGAGCAGUGUACAGAGACAAAAGUUGAGGGGGUUAACUGAAUAUUGUUAAAAUAGAGGGGCUUAUGGGUCCCCUCGCUCUCUCAUUCUCCCAUUUCUCUCUCUCUCUCUCUCUCUCUCUCUCUCUCUCUCUCUCACUCUCUUGCUCUCUCUAUCUAGAAAAGAAAGAACAAAAGAGAAGGAGAAGAAGGAAGAGAAGAAGAAGAAGGAGGAGAAGAAGAAGAAGACGGAGGAGAACAAGCUAGAGAAGGCUUGGAGCAUCUUCCUCUCUUCCUCUCCUCUCCAUUGGUGUAGCUCAAGAGGUAGGCUACCACCCUAGCUUGUAGAGCUUAGGGUUUUUGGGUUUUGAGCUUUGAGAUGAGGUCAAAUGGACUUCUAGUACCAUUGUUGGUGGAUUAGAGCUAGAGGCUAGGGUUUCAUGGUGCAAAUGGCAUGAUGCUAACCCUAGGGCACCUAAAAUGGGAUUUUUGGAAAUAGAUGAGAUUGAUCCCAUUUGAGGCCUUGUAAACCUAAUUGCUAGGUGUCCAAACGCGUUUGCGGAGUCGGAUUUAUGAUUCGUCGAGCGGGUGUAGAGCUAUCGGCAAAGUAGGGCCGACCUAGCUUCGUUUCUCCCAAAGAGGCGGGGAACACGUGGUUUGAAGUGCCGAGGAACGCUUCUAGGACCUCCACAACGAUUAUCGACGAGAAAAGGUGGGGGGUGUCAUCCCGAAGCAACCGAACUCUUUUCUAUGUCUUAGAAAUACAUGAUUUGCAUCUCUUGCAUGUUGCAUUGUAGGAUUGCAUUGUAGUACCUUUUCCUUAUGCUUCUAAAUGUAAACCUAGUGUACAUGGAACGCUUGGUGACUUGGAUAGGUGAGGAUUGGGUCGAAACGUGGAUCCUAUAGUGCUAAAGGGAAGAGAUGGACACGAUGGGUGUUUGGUGACAUAGAAAAUGACAUCUAAAUGUUAGAGAUCAUAUCGAGUGGCAUUAAAGUAGUGUAUUUGACACUAGAGAUUCUUGUGAACAUAGGGAUAAGUGGACUCCCUAGAAAAUGCCUUGUGGAUAAAGAACUUAGUAAAGCUAAGUAUCCUCACAUGGAGAGGAUGUAGAUGAUUCCGAGAGAUAUGUUGACCCUAGCGGUAGGAUAUCCCCACAUGGAGGGCAUAGAUCGAGCUCACGGUCUGUUUUGGGGUGGUAUAGCGAUCCAUAUCCUCACAUGGAGAGGAUUGUCGUCGAGUACUCCGGAGUGUCGGGCGAUUAGGACCACAUGGAGGUCCGCAGACAGUCCCGGGUUUGNGGUACACUCCUAUGAAUCGAAAUGAUUCAAGAAACAGGUGUUCCGUAAAAGAUCCCUCAGGUGAAUAGGGAUUCAAGUGUUCUUGGAGAUCACAGUUUAUGUGAUGAAAUUACGGUGAGCUAUACUAGAGAUUGUAAAUCUACAGUAAAAGAUACAGUGGUUUGUGGGUAGCACAGGUAGAGAGGAUGUAGAUGAUUCCGAGAGAUAUGUUGACCCUAGCGGUAGGGUAUCCCCACAUGGAGGGGAUAGAUCGAGCUCACGGUCUGUUUUGGGGUGGUAUAGCCAUCUAUAUCCUCACAUGGAGAGGAUUGUCGUCGAGUACUCCGGAGUGUCGGGCGAUUUUGACCAAAUGGAGGUCCGCAGACAGUCCCGGAUUUCGGGGCACAUGGAGCUCCCUUGCCCAAUACGGGAUGGAAAGGUGAGUUGUAGGCGAGCCCAAGGGUUUCGCCACGGAUUGGGUAAAUGAACAAUUAACAAUGUCAUGGAACAUUAUCAUUCGAAUAUGGAUCGAAAUUGUUAGCAUGUUAGUAAACCUUUACUAUAUGAUGCAUGCAUUCAUUAUACAUGAUUUUAGGCAUAGUAGCAUAGUUUUCCUUUAUGCCUUUACAGCUUUGAGAUAUCUAUCUAUCUAUCUAUUUGUUGUUACUUGUGCCCACUUGGACCUAGUGGGGAGAUCGGCGGAGUCGGCGGCCGAGCCCACCGGGAACUAUGGAAGAUAGUUCUCACCCCACUCUAUUUCCAGUGGUAGGUACAGGUUUACCGAGCCAGGACCGCGGCAAGGGCAUCACGCCCGACCAGUGAGACCAUGGUAGUAUAGUAGCUUUCCUUUUUGCAUUAGCACACCUAUGUAUUGAGAGAGAGAUUCAUGUAGGUGAGGUUGGAGAGCUAUGUAUUUUGAUGAACAAAUGUAUUCAUUUUGGGGAAAAGAUUUACAUGAAAAAGAAUUCAAAGUAUCGUAAUAGUUAGUAAAGUUCUCUCUUUAUUUCACUUGUAUUUCUCGUGGAUUACUUGCUCUUGUUGUUGUUGGCACCGUUUGUGCCCCGUUGAAUGUGUAUGUUUAGAAUUUGAAUUCCUGGGUAAAUUCUUGUACACAUUCCUAUUGUUGAGCCUUGGGCGAAUAGGAGAGGUGCUGUCCGUUCGGCGGUCCGCCCGCCGCGCCCGAAUCGUGCCAAAUUGGUAGUGGUUUCGGGGCGGGGCGUGACAGUCGUGUGGUAUCAGAGCAGUAAGAGCAAGUAAAGAGAGAAAGUCUAGGAUAACCUAGGAGACCCUAGGUUGGUGAGCCCUAAGUUUAUAGGUGCGUGAGCGGAACGUGAACCUAUAACGAUGGCGGAAGUUAAUUUGAUUGGGUCGAGAUUGAAGUUAUCUCUCUAGUAGCGACUAGAGGUGAAUUCAAGUGGUAUUAGCUCUUGACUUGAGGUGGUGGUGUCAGCGGCCGACGACAUGACGCCAAGAGUCGGGAACGAGUACACUUGUGUGCUUCCGCCCGAUUUAGUUAUCGAGUCGUCUUAUGUGGUAAUUGCGACGAGGCGAACGGGUUAAGAUAAUUAACCAAGUACUUGCGUUUCAGGAGCCAAUGGCACCAAGAGGACGCCCGAGCACAAGAUCUACUCCGGCACCGCCUCCUGAGGUGCCCGAGCACCCUGAACGGAGCAUGAUGGAUCGGUUGCAAGCACAGGUGUCCGCGUUGACCAAUGUGGUGCAGCGCCAGGAGACCCGAUUUGAGCGGCUCCAGGAUCUUUUAGAGCGACAGGUAGCGGCGGCGGCUGCGACGGUGAACGAGGGCGGUGGUCCGCCCGCACCCUCGAUUCAUGUACCCGAAGCGGCAGAGGGUGAGGGUAUAGCGGCGGUUCCGGUGACGACACGCCCACCGCGAGCGAUCAUACCACAGGCGGCGUCGGGAUCGGCUACACCCGAUGUGACGGCCGAAGAUGUGGAAGGAGAGCGCACAUUGGCGGCUCUUAUUAAGUUCAACAAGUUCCAUCCGCCUACCUUUGAGGGCGAGAAAGUGGAGCCGGCAAUGGUCGAGUCUUGGAUCGAUUCGAUGGAGACUCUCUUUGAGGACUUGCAUACCUUGGAGAGGGACAAGGUGUACCUUGCCACCCACUGUCUGGAGAAGGCGGCAAAGGUAUGGUGGAAGCGCGUGAAGCCAGAUCGGCCUUCCGAUCUCCCGCCGAUGUUGUGGGAGGAAUUCAAGCGGGAGAUGUUCGCCAACUACUUUCCCGAUACGUUGAAGCGGAAGCUUAAGGAGAAGUUCCGCAAGUUAGAGCAAGGGGACCGCUCAGUGGCGGAGUAUGAACAAGAGUUCUCCUACAUCAUUGAUUGUGUCCCGGACGUAGUGAAGGAUGACCGGGACCGGGCCGAUUGGUUCUUGCGAGGACUUCGGCCAGGGAUUUAUAAGGCCGUGCAGAUACUCAAGCUCACGACCUUUGCGGAGGUCUUCGACCGAGCACUUUGGGCGGAGCACGGAGACGCCCACGUUCGGGAGAAGCGUGAAGAUGCUGGCCGAGUCCAAGGACAAAGGCAAGAAACGCCAAGGCGGCGACGGUUCGGGGGGACAAGCACGUUCCAAGAAGCCCCCGAAGUAUCCGCGGACUCAGCCAAAGGGAGGUGGAGCGCGACGGUGCAUCAUAUGCGGCGGAGACCACCCAGUCUCGCGAUGUGAGCAGGGCCGAGGCAAGUGCUACAAGUGUGGGCAAUCGGAACACUUCAUUCGGGACUGCCCAGGAGGAGGAGCCUCACCUGCCCCAUCGACUGCAUCGGCGCCGGCGAUUUCGGCUCAUUAUGGAGGAGUUCCACCGACGGCCGCGUCGACGGGACGCGCGAUGAUGCAGCGUCAGCCUGAGGUGACGCGAUCAGCUCCGAGCGGCCGGGUAUUCGCCGCUCAGGUUCAAGCCGAGGAGCCUGCAGAGGUGGAGGAGCAUCGCCUUGUGGCAGGUAUGGCUUUAAUUAACGGAGUUCGCUCCAGGGCUUUAUUUGAUACAGGAGCCACGCAUUCAUUCAUUAGUAGAUCAUUCGCACGCAUGCAUGACAUUCUUAUUGAGGCGAGUGACAAGUGGCGGGUUGAGGGCCCUGGGUCGACGUUUAAUACCUACUUAGAGUGUGCAUCGUGUCCGGUACAAGUAGGCGACUGGAUGAUGCCUAUUCGGACGCUAGAACUCAAGAAGCUCGAGGCUUAUGACAUCAUUUUGGGCAUGGACUGGCUCUCGAAAAAUCAUGCAACGAUCGACUGUAAAAGCAGGGUAAUUACGUUUCGUGAGCCAGGACAAAAGGAGUUCACAUAUCGGGCUUGCCAGAGCUCGUGCUUCGUCGCGACGGUGUCGGCGACGAGAGCAAGGAAGUUGGUCAACAGCGGUUGCACGGCAUUCUUAAUAACUGUUGUGGAAAUGGAACGAGUAGCCCCAACAUUGGAGGAGUUAUCGGUGGUGCGGGAGUUCCCGGAUGUAUUUCCCGCGGAGUUACCGGGGAUACCACCGGAUCGAGAGAUCGAGUUCGUUAUAGACUUGGUUCCCGGUACCGCACCGAUCUCAAAGGCUCCGUACCGAAUGGCGCCGGCGGAACUGAAAGAGUUGAGGAGUCAAUUGCAAGACCUUCUCGACAAGCAGUUUAUCCGGCCAAGUGUAUCACCGUGGGGAGCCCCGGUGCUUUUUGUAAAGAAGAAGGAUGGAUCGUUUCGACUCUGUGUGGAUUAUCGAGAGUUGAACAGAGUCACGAUCAAGAACAAGUACCCACUUCCCCGAAUCGACGACCUGUUCGACCAGUUGCAGGGGUUGUGUGUGUACUCGAAGAUAGAUUUGCAGUCUGGCUAUCACCAGUUGAAGAUUAAGCCGAAGGAUGUGCAGAAAACUGCGUUUCGUACGCGGUACGGGCACUAUGAAUUCACGGUUAUGCCAUUUGGACUCACGAAUGCUCCAGCGGCAUUUAUGGACUUGAUGAACCGUGUCUUCAGGAGGUUUUUGGAUCAAUUUGUCGUGGUCUUCAUAGACGACAUAUUGGUCUAUUCUCGUAGUGACGAGGAACAUGCCGAACAUUUGAGGAUAGUGCUUCAAACCCUUCGGGAGGAGAAGCUGUAUGCUAAGUUGAAGAAGUGUGACUUCUGGCUCCGAGAAGUCGCAUUUCUAGGGCAUGUGAUUUCCGCGGGUGGAGUUUAAGUAGACCCGAGGAAGGUUGAGGCAAUCAGGAAUUGGCCGCGCCCGACUAAUGUCACGGAGGUUCGAAGCUUCGUGGGCUUGGCGGGCUAUUAUAGGCGGUUUGUGGAAGGCUUUUCCAAGAUAGUGAUUCCAUUUACUCGCCUGACUAAGAAAGGCACCAAGUUUGUUUGGAGCGAGGAAUGCGACCGGAGUUUCAAGGAGUUGAAGUAGAGUGCUCGCCCUACCGGUGCAAGGCGAAGACUUCGUAGUCUAUAGCGAUGCUUCCUAUCUAGCAUUGGGGUGUGUUUUGAUGCAAAACGGGAAGGUGAUUGCUUAUGCAUCCCGUCAGCUGAAGAGCUAUAAAAAGAACUAACCCAUCCAUGAUUUGGAACUGGCGGCGGUAAUUUUUGCCUUGAAGUUGUGGCAGCACUAUCUAUAUGGUGCCCAUUGUGAAAUCUAUACCGACCACAAGAGCUUGAAGUAUUUGUUCAUGCAGAAAGAGCUCAACAUGAGGCAGCGGCGGUGGUUAGAACUAUUAAAGGAUUAUGAUGUGGAUAUCCCUUACCACCCCAGGAAAGCUAAUGUGGUCGCUGAUGCAUUGAGCAGGAAGUCGGUGGAGAACCUCUCGAUGUGGGUUACAAACCAGACACCGUUAUGCCUAGACAUGGAACGGAUGGAUCUAGAGGUGGUUGCUCCUGAGACUCCGACUCAGUUGAUGGCACUUGUUGUCCAACCGACCUUGUUGGAGAAGAUUAAAGAUCUGCAACCUGCGGACCCAGAACUCCAAAAAGUACGACGAAACAUCGAGGAGGGUCGAAGUGGCGAUUUCGGUAGACGCCGAGGGUACACUUCGGUUUCGAAACCGGAGGUGUGUGCCCAAAGACGGAGAGCUUCGCGAGUUGAUUCUGCAAGAAGCACACCGAUCUCCGUAUGCUGAUCACCCGGGCGGCACCAAGAUGUAUCAAGGAUUAAAAAUGCACUACUGGUGGCCAGGAAUGAAGGGUGAUAUUGGACGCUUUGUGGCGAAGUGCUUAACAUGCCAACAAGUGAAGGCCGAGUGUCGAUUUCCAGCGGGAAAGCUUCAAAGCCUACCAAUCCCCGUUUGGAAAUGGGAGGAUAUAUCAAUGGACUUCGUGGUCGGCUUGCCUCGCUCAACGGACGGCCACGAUGCAAUUUGGGUAAUUGUGGACCGAUUGACGAAGUCGGCUCACUUCUUUCUGAUCCACACCACGUGGUCGGGUGACAAGUUAGCGCAGGUAUACCUCAAUGAGAUAGUGAGACUGCAUAGGGUGCCGAAAUCAAUCGUGUCGGAUCGUGACCCCCGGUGCACUUCACACUUUUGGAAGAGCCUGCAGGAAGCCCUUGGCACACGGCUCGACUUUCGCACCGCAUUUCAUCCUCAGACCGAUGGGCAAACAGAGAGAACCAUUCAAACUCUUGAGGAUAUGUUGCGAGCGUGUGUCAUUGACUAUAAAAGGAGUUGGUGUGAUCACUUACCAAUGGCCGAGUUCGCCUACAACAAUAGUUAUCACGCUAGUGUGGAGAUGGCACCGUUCGAGGCUCUUUAUGGGCGAAAGUGCCGAUCUCCUAUACACUGGAGCGAUGUGGGUGAGCGUGCAGAGUUCGGCCCUGAUGUUCUGCGAGAAGCGGAGGAGAAAGUCCGCCUUGCUCGCAAGAGAUUGCUCAUGGCGCAGUCUAGACAGCAAAGCUAUGCAGAUAGGCGCCGUCGAGAUAUCGAGUUCGCGGUGGGCGACCGUGUAUUCUUGAAGGUUUCACCGAUACGGGGUGUGAAGCGGUUUGGAGUGCGGGGGAAGUUGAGUCCCUGAUACAUUGGACCCUAUGAAAUAUUGGAGCGAGUUGGCACAGUGGCUUAUCGACUCGCUUUGCCGCCGAAGCUCGCGGAUGUACACAAUGUGUUCCAUGUCUCCAAUCUCCGCAAGUAUGUUCACGACCCCGAGCAUGCGAUGUUAUAUGAACCGCCGGAACUUCAAAGAGACUCGAGUUAUGAAGAGUUUUCGGUGGGGAUUAUCGCCCGAGAGGUGCGAAAGUUGAGAAAUCGAGAAAUUCCCUACGUAAAGAUUCGGUGGAGCAAUCACGAUGAUCGCGAGGCCACCUGGGAACUCGAGGAUCUGAUGAGAAAGCACCAUCCUCAUCUAUUUGAGGAGUAAGGUAUGGAUUUAAGUUAAAGAUGAGAAUUGAGUUAGUUUGGAGGACGAAACUCCUUUUAAGGAGGGGAGGAUGUAAGGAAGUGAAUUCUCGAAAUCCGAGAGUUGUACUUCGUCCAGGAUCGACUAUUUGUCGAGCGAGUAUCCUUCGGAAAGGCUAAAGAUAUCCAAAACACGAAAAGUGCAUUGGAAACGUGUCCGCGAGAGCAGAUAUGCAGAAAUCUGGACUCAGCAGAUUUUGCUCUCGGGGACCGGUCCCUGGAAGGGAGGACCGGUCCCCGUAGCUGAUGGUUGCGGGGGAGGUUGAUGCAACCGGUCCCUGGCUGAGGGGACCGGUCCCCGUGUGCGACGCCAGCGAGAGAAGGCCAAAAUCGACUAAGUCCUGAAAAUCGAGCUCUCGGGGACCGGUCUCUCAGGCAAGGACCGGUCUCCCGAGGACCGGUCUCCCGGGGAGAGACCGGUUCCCGAACGCGAAGAGGACCUCUGGCCGCUAGGACUGCUCUCGGGGACCGGUCCCAGGUCGGGGAGACCGGUUCCUCUGGGCGCAGAAUGCCCAGUGAGAGCAGUGUACAGAGACAAAAGUUGAGGGGGUUAACUGGAUAUUGUUACAAUAGAGGGGCUUAUGGGUCCCCUCCCUCUCUCAUUCUCCCAUUUCACUCUCUCUCUCUCUCACUCUCUUGCUCUCUCUCUCUAGAAAAGAAAGAACAAAAGAGAAGGAGAAGAAGGAAGAGAAGAAGAAGAAGGAGGAGGAGAACAAGCUAGAGAAGGCUUGGAGCAUCUUCCUCUCUUCCUCUCCUCUUCAUUGGUGUAGCUCAAGAGGUAGGCUACAACCCUAGCUUGUAGAGCUUAGGGUUUUUGGGUUUUGAGCUUUGAGAUGAGGUCAAAUGGACUUCUAGCACCAUUGUUGGUGGAUUAGAGCUAGAGGCUAGGGUUUAAUGGUGCAAAUGGCAUGAUGCUAACCCUAGGGCACCUAAAAUGGGAUUUUUGGAAAUAGAUGACAUUGAUCUCAUUUGAGGCCUUGUAAACCUAAUUGCUAGGUGUCCAAACGCGUUGGCGGAGUCGGAUUUACGAUUCGUCGAGCGGGUGUAGAGCUAUCGGCAAAGUAUGGCCGACCUAGCUUCGUUUCUCCCAAAGAGGCGGGGAACACGUGGUUUGAAGUGCCGAGGAACGCUUCUAGGACCUCCACAACGAUUAUCGACGAGAAAAGGUGGGGGGUGUCAUCCCGAAGCAACCGAACUCUUUUCUAUGUCUUAGAAAUACAUGAUUUGCAUCUCUUGCAUGUUGCAUUGUAGGAUUGCAUUGUAGUACCUUUUCCUUAUGCUUCUAAAUGUAAACCUAGUGUACAUGGAACGCUUGGUGACUUGGAUAGGUGAGGAUUGGGUCGAAACGUGGAUCCUAUAGUGCUAAAGGGAAGAGAUGGACACGAUGGGUGUUUGGUGACAUAGAAAAUGACAUCUAAAUGUUAGAGAUCAUAUCGAGUGGCAUUAAAGUAGUGUAUUUGACACUAGAGAUUCUUGUGAACAUAGGGAUAAGUGGACUCCCUAGAAAAUGCCUUGUGGAUAAAGAACUUAGUAAAGCUAAGUAUCCUCACAUGGAGAGGAUGUAGAUGAUUCCGAGAGAUAUGUUGACCCUCCGAAUCGUGCCAAAUUGGUAGUGGUUUUGGGGCGGGGCGUGACACCCCGGGCCAAGGGGACCGGUUCCCGAACGCGUAGAUUUGGGGAGGUCCUGAGGGACCGUGUCACGUCCCGCUAUCGCCAAUUUGGUCGAUCCGGGCCCGUACACAGACGCCGAACGAACAGCACCUCCUCUGUUCGCCCAAGGCUCAACAACAACGAAUACAUGUAUAAAGAAAUUAAACAAUUCCCAGGAUCACAUUUCAAUAUACAUGGCUUGCACGAAGACAAGCAACAACACAAAUGAUAGUAAGUCUAACUAAACAUGAAAUCCACUGUAAUUCAAAACUUUACAUAACUGAAACAUUUAGUUAUAUACAUGUUCUUCAAUACAUUCAUUUACAUGUCUCUGUACAUCGAAAUAGAUGAUACAUGAACCCAAAUGGUAUACCACUAGUACUCGGGUGUCCACUAGCUAGGCUGCUGGCUCUUGCCUCGAUCCUCGGCCACAAUACUCGCACUGGAACCUGUAUGGUUAGUGGUGUGAGAACUACAAGAAAGUUCCCAGUGGGUUCGGCCGCCGACCUCGCCGACUCACCCACUAGGUCUACUCAGGCAUAUGUAGGCAAGAACAGUAAGCAGAUAGUAACCAACUACAACAUGUAACUACUACAAUGCCUGUACAAAGCUGAAAGAAGUAACAGAUAUAAAAACUGUAAAUAUGCAUGCAUGCUUUUCAUUAACUUUAUCCAAUCUUUUGGUUAACCCUGUGGUUAACAGCUGGACAAGUACGUUAGUCCUGGGGCAAGUACGUUAGCCCAUAAAUUUACCCAAUUCAGUGGUUAACCCUUUGGUUAACAAUAACUCACCAACGAAAUCCCUCACGGUCCCUAAGCUGCCUCCCGAUGGGACCGUCUGUCGGACAAGUACGUUAGUCCUGGGGCAAGUACGUUAGCCCAACAAGUGACUACUCCGGAGCUCACUGCCUGGGGGGAGCGACCACCACCAAGCAAGAAAACAGACUAUGUGAGUAAGAUCUGAUCCCCCUUAGAGGAUUCAACUGACAAUAAUGUCACAAUUUAACUCUAACUAGUUCUUUAUACUAGUUUCAUAAUUUCACUGUUUAUCUCACAAUGCUAUCCAAUUCUCUAGUUAGAAUGUCACCAAGUUCACUAUUGUCAAAGUCCAUGCAUUCAUAGGGUUCUAUGUCCACAUUCUAUGUUCAUAUGUUCUUACCAUCAAUAAGAAUUCACACGUUCAAUAUCACUCGCAUAAUGCCAAUGCCCAUACCCUAUAAUGCAUAAAAACAGAAGUAAAUAUGCUCAAUGAAUAGCAUAGACAUAAAGGGUGAUUCAAAGACUUCGGAUAGCACCACCCACCUGUAGUGGUGUCAAUCAACUAAGAUCAGGGUCUCGAAAAGCGUCGACAACUUUCUCUCGCGACUCCGUGCAAAUAGAACUAGAACGGCCUCUACCGUAAUUAGCGCGUCGUCGACCUGUUGGAAAGUCAAUUUAGACUCUUGGGCAUGUUUACUUUUCACUUAUAAAGGAUUAGAAAAGAUUAAACUAGAGUCAUCGCUCAUAAUUUACAAAUUAGCAUUUCAAUGCUAUAGAAAGCGGCAACUAUAGCCGAAAAUCUUCUUUUGGCGAUAUCUUUGCGUAGGUUCGUCGGAUUGCCGAACCGACUUCGCCAACGCGUUUCUUUUGCCCUCAAUUUGGUUUAUACGCGGUCAAUUUCACUUUAGGACUCUUAUUUUGCAAAAGUGCCUUGCCGGGGUCAGUUUUCUCAAAAAUACUAUUUCAAUGCAAUUUCACAAUUCAAUAGAGUAAUUCAACUCUUUAUUAGCCCAAGGACCUCAAAUCAGUUAGUAAAAACUGUCUAAAUACUUCGAUUCAUCUUUCACUCUAUUUCAUUAUCUUUCUUUCUUGCUUUCUUUUCUUUUCUUUCCUUUCUUUUCUUUCUUUUCUUUUCUUUCCUUUCUUUUCUUUCUUUUCUUUCCUUUCUUGCUUGCUACCCCUGCAGGGCAGCUGCUGCUGCUGCCACUGCUGCUGCGCAUGCUGCUGCUGCUGAGCUGCUGCUCAGCUGCUACUCCAGCAGCUGCUGCUGCUGAUGCCACUGCUGCUGGCUGCUGCUGCUGAAGCUGCUGCUGCUAGUUGCAGCUGCUGCUGCUGAUUGCUGCAGCUGCUGCUGCUGAAGCUGCUUGCACUGCUGCUGCUGCUGCUGCUGGCGCAGGCUGCUGCUGAUGCUCCUCUAGCUUGCAGCAGUAGCAAAGAUUGGUGCUGCUGCUGCUGUUUUCAGCAGUAGGGAAACGAAAAAGAGGGAGGGGGAANGGCUGCUGCUGAUGCUCCUCUAGCUUGCAGCAGUAGCAAAGAUUGGUGCUGCUGCUGCUGUUUUCAGCAGUAGGGAAACGAAAAAGAGGGAGGGGGAAAGUCAGCAAAGAGAGGGAGAAAAAGGAAUACCUUUCUUUCAUUUUUUUCUCCUUUUUCUUCAUCUGCUUCUUCUUCUUCUUCUUCUUCUCUUCUUCUCUUUUUCUCUCCUUCUCUUCUCCUUCUCUCUCUCUCUACGUAUGGCUAACAGGGAGAAGGGGAUAAGUAUGGAGGCUCCCUGUCAGCAGGUUAGUGGAAAUCCACUAAGCCAUGGGUUAAUUACCAUAAUGCCCCUCGACUUAUCCGUUUAGUCGCACGGAUUAGAUACCUUUCGCAGGCUCUUCUAAAUGUCCGAUUGAGCUCAAAUUUGACAGGUAUGUUCGGUUUUACUUAACAAGUCCAAACAAAUUUUAACAUUUCAGUUCCGACCCCAUUUGGUCACUGCGAACUGUCCCGAACUGUAAUCUUCAUCAGAUAACUUUCGGAUGCUAUUUCUCUCUCUACAGGUGUCAGAAUAAUAUGAAACUUGAAAUCUGGCCUCAUACCAAUGUCCCUGACAUCUCCGCCAAUUUUCAUAAUUUUCUGACACUGUGCAUUUUCUGCUAAUUUCUCAGUCCCAUUCUUUACAGAAAAUUUCAAAUCUUCUGUUUUUGCUCCGAUUUCAACACGAACACUUCCAAAACAUGCCAAGGGACUUUCACAAGCUACUAGUUUAAUUUGGAAGCAAUUCCUUUUCAUUUUGACAUCAUAUGGUUCAUUUCGACCAAAUCGACUACAAAAUUCAGCAUUCGAGUUACAAUGGCAAUUGGAGUUCUUUUGUCACUUCGUUUCCACUUGUAUCUAUUCCCACACUUCCAAAGUGUGCCAAUGACUGAUCUCAAGCUUCUAAUUCAGUUUAGAAGUCUCUAAUAUCCAUUUUAGCAUUAUUGUGCCCACUUUGAUCACAAUUAGCUUCUAAUCAAGUUUCAGUCUAUUACAGACCGGUCACUGGUAGGGAGAGACCGGUCCCCGUAGCCCGAAUCUGCCCAAGUUGGGUUGUGUCAUGUUGACAAAGUGCAGGGGUUUUUAUGCAAUUGUAGCAUGAGUUAGGGGUAUAUGAGAGGGUGAGCUCUCUCUCUUUCUCAUUUCUCUCCCAAGCUUAACCCUGACUCCCUCUCUCUCUCUAUAUUCUCUUCCUCUCUCUCUAGAAGGUGAAGAAGAGAAGGGUUUUGGUGGAGAAUCAAGCAAGGAGAAGGAUCUUCGUUGUCUUCUUCUUCCUCUUCACCCUUGGAGCAAGCUUUUGGAGGUAAGCUUCUAGGCUCAACUAUGGUGAACUUCUAGGGUUUAGGUCUUUGAGCUCUAGAAUGGUUUAGUUGAAACUCUAGCAUGCUAAAUAGAUGUUAUAGUACAUGAGUUGGAGGUUUAGCGAUGGAUUCUUCCAUGAUUGCAAGUUAGGGCUCCAAAAAUGGGGUUUUGUGAUUUGUUGGGUAUUUAUCUCAAUUGAUCAAGUGUAAACCUAACUAUUAGGUGUUUAAAUGCGUAGGCGAAGACGGUUCGACGAUUCGUCGAGCGGGUGCAAAGUUAUUGGCAAAAAGGACCUUUCAAGCUUCGUUUCCGCCUGGUAGGCCGAGACGACGUCGUAAAAUCGCCGAACUUCAUUCCAAGAGUCGUGACAACGCCAGAAGGUGGGUGGUGUCAUCCCGAAGCAACUGGGCUCCUCUUUAUGUCUUAGUGCAUUUUAAAUCUUGCAUCUCUUGCAUAUAUACAUUGUAAGAUAAUGUGCAUUCCAUUCCCUUAUGCUUUCCUAGAUGAUAUCAUAGUGUGAGUUGAAUGCUUGAUAUAGUGGAUAGAUAAGGAUUGAGUCGAGACAUUGAAUCCUAUAGUUUUGAGAUAAGAGAUGGACUCGAUGGGUGACAAAAGACAUAACGAGUGGCAUGUAAAUAACAAUGACAACAGAACGAGUGGCAUGUAACUUAGUGUAUAGAUGACACUUGAUAUGUGAACUUAGGGAUAGGUGGAUUCCCUAGAGAUGAGUCAUUGAACAAGAACCUGUAGUUAAACACUUGCAUAUGGACUUUGGGAUAGGUGGAUUCCCGAGUGAUUGUUAGCCCUAGUGAAUAGGGUAUCCCCGAGUUGAGAGGAUUGGAUCAUACUCGUUGUCUGUUCAGAACUUGUGUUGGUCGCUCCUCACAAGUGUGCGCUCCGGAGUUUUGUCACAUAAGGGAUAGCCUUAUGGGAUCCCUGGGAUAGCCUUAUGGGGUCCCGCAGACGGUCUCGGGUUUGUGAACGAGUUGAGUUUCCUUACCAUGAUAUGCAUGUGAGUCGUGGGCGAACCUUAGGGUUGGCCAAGGAUUGGAUAAGCUAAAAGAAUUGAUGAACAAGUAAAGAACAUUACUUCUUGGACAUAGUGGCAUGUUAGUAAACCAUUUACUAUAUGAUGCAUGCAUACAUUAUUGAUGAUUGGGCAUAGUAGCAUAGUUUUCCUACUAUCGUAUUUACAGCUUUGAUAUCUAUCUACCUAUCUAUCUGCUUGUGCCCACUUGGACCUAGUGGGAGAUCGGCGGAGUCGGCGGCCGAACCCACUGGGAACAAUGGACAAUAGUUCUUACCCCACUUUGUUGCAAGGCCGAGUACGAGCGCUCCGGGCGAGGACCGCGGUAAGGGCUUAGCGCCCUAGCAUUAGUAUCCCUCCAGUUGCAUUAGAGGUACCUACUUAUAUGAGAGUAGACGAUGUAUAGGUUGUGAGACGCAUUUUGGAGAGAUAUGAAUGAACUUGUACUUAUGUUUUGGACGAGCAAAAUGUAAAUCAAUUGUAUAAAUGGGCAAAUUGUGAUGUAAUAGAUAGAACUCUCUCUUUUUGCACUUGUAUAUAUACUUGUGUUACUUGCUCUUGUUGCUAUGCACUUGUGGUGCCUCUGUUGUUAUUGUAUGGAUCAUGUAUGUAUUGAAUUGUUCCUGGGCGAAUUCUUGUACAUGAUCCCGCGGUUGAGCCUUGGGCGGACAGGGGAGGUGCUGUCCGUUCGGCGUCUGUUCGACGCACCCGAACCGGACCAAAUGGGUAGCGGUCUCGGGGCGUGACAUUAACUUUUCAGUUUGGACCAUGUUUAGUCACCGAAAGCUCUACCGAACUGUAAUCUCUAGUAGAUAGCAGUCGGAUUUUAUUUUCCACCUUCCUGGUGUCGGAUUUAUAUGAAACUUUUAAUCUAGCCUCAUAAAAAUAAUCCCGUCAUAUUCCCAAGUUUUCAUAAUUUUUUGAUACUGUGCAUUUUCUGCUAAAAUAUCAGCCCCGUUUCUCACAGAAAAUUCUAAAUCUUCUGUUUUCAUUUCGAUUUCAGCACAAGUCAUUUCCGACUUAUAUUUUACUUCUCUAAAUCCAAUAAAAAUAGUAUCUCACACUAUUUUUAUUUAUUUUUACUUUUAUAUUAAAAUCUGAUAUAUUACAGGUGUGUUUGCUCAUUUAACGGUAUAGAAGGGUUCAAAUCAACUAAAUUUUUGUUAAAAAAUUCUUUAAACUAUUUAAAAUAAGAUCUAGACUCUAGAUCUAAAUAUAAAAAUUGUAUCAUCAUUUUUUAAAGGAUAUUCAUUUCCAACCAUUCAUUUUUCUAUUCACUUGAUGAACAAGAGAACAAUAUCGAAAAUGUGUAAAAUUUGAUUUUCAGNAUAUAUAUAUAUAUAUAUAUAUAUAUAUAUAUAUAGAGGUGAGUGGUCCAGUGUCGUGGUCCACAAGCUCUUACAUGAGCUCGUGGACCCCGAUGCAAGGAAGCCCCAUGACCCGCGAUAGUUUUCGUUUUCCGUCGAGAUUCGGCGAAAAACGAAAAGCUGGCUUUUACAUGAAAUAUGUAAAAUAAUUUUUCCUGUACAAUUUUUUUACGUCGAACCAAACGCUAGAAAAAUGAUUUUCCACUGAAAAAAAUUUUUCCGACCAUUUUUACGGGGAACCAAACGCCCCCUUAGCGGCAGUAGAUAAAAUAAUGUCAUAUUUAAAAACUAAAAAACCAAUAAGCAUUAUUUAUGUACUUUUAAAAGCACACAAACUGAAUUUUUUUGUUGACUUAAUUUCAUAAAAAUUUCCGUAAAUAUAGUGAAUGACAAAUAUAUUCUUACAAAGUUCAACUUUUAUAUAUUAUUUCUAUAAAAGUCUACGAUAUUUUCAAAUAUGCCACUCUGUUUUAUUAUCGUUAGAGAACUGUUUAUAUUUUUAAUUUUGCAAUUACAAAUAUAUUUUUCUGAAAGUCAUAACAAUAUAAUAUAAAGGGGUAAAAAUAUCAAAAACUAACCAGAAUUAAAUAUUUAAUCUAUGAUUAGUUAAAAUUUUCUAACGGAUUCUAACGACAGUGAUAUAUUUGAAAACACCAGAAUUUUUAUAGGAACAAUAUAUAAAAGUUAAACUUUAUAGGAAUAUAUACGUCAUUUACUAUAUUUGCACAGAUCUGGAUUAAAUUAAUUUUUUUUUACUGCAACAAAAAAAAAAAAGAAAGAAAAAGUGAGGAUACUCAUCAGUGGGGCAUUUGAUCGAACAGGUGACGUACCUCAAGUGUGGCGGCGUGGUGCUGGGCACGGCGAUGCACCACACCGUCAUCGACGCGCGCAGCGCCUUCCACUUCAUCUCCACCUGGUCCGCCAUCGCGCGCGGCGGCGGCGGCGCCGACCUCCCCCCGCCCCCCUUCCUCGACCACACCCUCCUCCGCGCCCGCUCCCCCCCCGUCGUCCUCUUCGACCACCCCGAGUACAAGCCCACCCCUAACCCUAACCCCAACCCUAAUCCUAAUUCAAGCCCCAACCCCAACCCUUCGUCGACCCCCGCGCCCUACGCCAGCGCCAUCCUCAGGCUCUCCCAGGCCCAGGUCGACGCCCUCAAGGCGCGCUGCUGCUGCGGCGGCGGCGGCGGCGGCGGCGCGCGGGUGUCGGCGUUCCGCGCGAUCGUGGCGCACGUGUGGCGGUGCGUGUGCGCCGCGCGCGGGCUCGCGCGCGGCGCCGAGACGCGGCUCUACACGAUGGUCGACGUGCGCGCGCGCCUCGCCCCGCCGCUCCCCCCCAACUACUUCGGCAACGCCGUCCUCCGCACCUCCGUCGCCGCCGCCGCCGGCGAGCUCGCCGACGCCCCGCUCGGCUCCGUCGCCCGCCGCCUCCGCGCCGCCACGAGCCCCGGCGACGACUACGCGCGCUCCCUCGUCGACUACCUGGACGCCGUCGACAUGGAUCGGCUCCCCCGAAGUGGGUUACCGGGAAACGACUUACGCGUCAUCAGCUGGAUGGGCAUGUCCAUUUACGACGCCGACUUCGGCUGGGGCGAGCCCGUUUUCAUGGGCCCCGCGCUCAUGUACUACGCCGGCUUCGUGUACUUGAUGACCAGCCCCGGUAAAGUCGGCGGCGUAUCCGUCGCCGUCUCCUUGGAGCCCGACACGUUGCCGACUUUCAAGAAGCUGCUCUUCCAGGAGCUCGGAGGGGUACAAGGGUAAAUUCAUAAAGCCAAUUAUUAAUAUAUAUAUUUAUAUUUAUAUAUAUAUAUCUAUAUAUCCCCUAAAACUGGAAUUGCAUUUCCAUUUCCUUUUUUUACUUGGGUUUUUGUUUUUGUUACUCGAGUAAAGAGUCGUUCCCGAUGACGACGGACCAUCUGAAUCGACGAUCGGCGCCGCUGAAUAUAAUCUGUCAUAGCAGGUUAAUUUAUUACGAUGAUAAUACAGAUCUUAUAAUAUUUAAUUUGUGUGUUUCGUAUUAAGUUGGUGCUCUAGGCUCAUAAGUGGAAUUAGUUGGAAGGGCCUAAAAUUGUCCCGGGUGUAGAUGGUUGUUGGGUGAUACAAAUCAUGGUCCCAUAAAUAUAUAUUUGCAUAAAUAAUACUUUUAUUAUCAGGCGAUCGUUUAGGUGGCGUUUUUAAGUUUAACUCGAUGAUUUAUUUUUUUUAUAUUUUUUAUUAUUUUUAUAUUAAAAAAAUAGACUAAAAUGUGAAUAUAAAUACGGUGAUUGAAUCACCAUAUUCAAUUUAAAAUUGUCAACAUGGUUCUCGCGUGAUAAAAAGAUAAUUAUAUAUGCAAAUAUAAAUUUGCUAUGAUUAUUUAUAAAAAAAGAAAAUUUUGAGUGGGCUACAUAUAAAAAAAAAUCCAUAAAAAAUAAAUAAAAAAGUUUGGUAUGAAGUAAUUUUUGACCAUAAAUAUUUAUUUUUAUUGUUUGCUUUGUUAUAAUUUUACUUGUGAUCGAAACUUAAACUCUUAAAAAUGACAUCAUACCAAAGUAAAUUAUAAAAAGAAAAGUGAGAGAAAAAAUAUUAAAUUAUUUAUCAAACCUUCGAUUUUACGUUAUUCACUUUCUAUCAUACAAACAACAUAAUUUAAAAAAAAAAAAGAUUAAAAUAAGAUUUUUGAUAAACACAUGAUAGCUAAGUAUAAUUUUUAAACCAUAGAAUGACAAAGUAAAAAUGAGUUAAACUAUAGAAUAUUUGAAUAUAAUUUUUUAAACUAUAUGAUAAUAAAGUAAAAAUAAUCUAAGCUACAGGGAGCAAAUUAAAGUUUAUCCUAAUGAAAAUUACCUAUGGCAUUCUAUCUCAAAAAAAAAAAAGAAAAAAGAAAAAAAAGUACAAAACAAAACAAAAAAAAUGAGUGUGUAAUUGUUUGGGAUUUGCUUUUAAUUGUGUUUCCAGCUGUAUUUUUCACCUGAUAAAUAGAAAAUAUAAAAAGUUUCUAAUUCAGCAGAAAAAUAGAAAUAAGAUUUUAAGUCUAAAGUUUUACUUCUUAAAAAUGUUUUUUUCAAAAUAUAAGUACCUGUUCUAUAGAGGGAAAUUGUUUUUUUUUUUUUUCUGUUUCCUUUCUUUUUCCAUGCAAUGUUUUCAAUAUUUAUAAUGUACGCAAAUAUUUAAAAUGACAUAAAUGUUCGAGUAUUUAUUUUUUGUAUAUUGUGCAGCGCCUUCUUAUUUUCUCUCAUGUAUGUGUGUACAUUUAUAGUAUGUUACUUACAAGGUGUAUGUAUUCGUAUAUGGUAUUUAUUUACUCACGCUGGUCUCUUUACUUCAUAUAUAUUUUCACUAUGCUAUCAAUAUUUCCUAUUAAAUUUGUGUAUUUGUGUGACACCUCAAUAGUUUUAUAUUGGAUGAAAAUAGAAUUACGAUUGGAAAUAUAAGAGAUUAUGAUCCUAAUAAUAAUAACUGAAUUUAAAUAUUUUGAGCUGGUGGUUUAGGUUAUGUCUAUUAAUUCUCUGAGAGCCACCAAUAGAAUCAUCUAAUAUCACCAGCUAAUUCUCUAAUUUUAGUCUAUAUGUGUGAACUAAGAAUAUAUAUAUGUGAUUUUGGUCUCACAUGGCCUUCUAAUUCUCUAAUUUUGGUCUAUAAAUGUGAUUAUCCAAAAAUCUCACAUUGCCCCAUAAGUUUAAUCUAGAGUUUGGUGGGAGCCAUUUUUUAAAUUCACAAGAGCCACCUCAAAAUUUUCAUAUUGCCUACUAUGUUUGGUCUAUAUGUGUGACUGCUCUAGAAUAUCAUAUUGUCUAGUAAUUUUGGUUUAUAUGUGUGAUUAGGUUUAGAUAAUGUGAGUCACCUUUUAAACCGGCAGGAGCUGUCUCUAAAACCAUGAAUUAGUUAUGAGCCAUAUCUUAAACCCGCAGGAGCUACCUCUAAAAUUUCAUUUCUCUUGCAAAUUUUGGUCUAUAUAUAUGAUUACUCUAAAAUCUCACAUUGCUUGAUAAUUCUAGUGUAGAGUUUGGUGAGAGCCACUUAUUAAAUCCACAAGAGCCAUCUUUAUAAUCUCACAUCGCUUGCUAAUUCUGGUUUAUAUGUGUGGUUACACUAGAAUAUCACAUUGCAUAGUAAUUCUAGUCUAUAUAUGUGACUAAGUUUAGGAUUGACGAGAAUGUCGGAGUCUAUCUGGAGGGAGUCUGUAAUGUCUCAAUAAUUUCACAAUUUAAGCCUAAUGAGAACAUCAGGGUCCAAUUGGUGAGAGUCUAUAACACGAAUAAUUUCACAGAAUAGAAAAUAGAUUGUGAUUGAAAUAUAAGAGAUCAUACUGACCGUCCCUAGAGCAAGUGGCAAAGGACUUUGUGGUUGGUACCCGAGGUCCCAAGUUCGAAUCCUAGUUGAUUCACAUUGUCAGCUAAGUUUAUUUCUAAAUGAAAUAAACGAAGCGGAUAGCGUGCUACCUAUCUCUCAAAUAUGUAUGUAUAUAUAUAUAUAUAUGUGUAUAUAUAUACAUAUAUGUAUGUACGUAUAUGUAUAUAUAUGUAUGUAUAUGUAUAUAUAUGUAUGUAUAUGUAUAUAUAUACAUAUAUGUAUGUAUAUGUAUAUAUAUGUAUGUUUAUGUAUAUAUAUAUAUAUAUGUAUAUGUAUAUAUAUAUAUAUAUAUAUGUAUAUGUAUAUAUAUAUGUAUAUGUAUAUGUAUAUGCUUGUCUACUUAGCUCUUGCACCUCUCUUAUUUUCUGUUGGCUACUCUACGAUUUAUUCUCACCUAGGAUAUCCUAAUCUAGUUGUAGAGUAACAUUGAUUAUGAUUAGUUAUCAUGAUAUGACUACGGUAACAUGGUGUUACAUAGUGAUAUUAUAUAUUCGCUGCAUAAUAACUUUUCAUAUCUCGUACAUGGUGACUUGAUUACAUAGUCAUUAUAGGUCAGUGACAUGGUGACAUUCGUAUUCGUUACGUAGUGAUAUAUACCAUUGCAUGAUGACUUUUCGUACCUUGUACAUGGUGACUUGGUCAUAUAGACCUUAUAGGUCAGUGACAUGGUGACAUUUUCUUCGAAAACAGUGGACCUGAUUCGGUCGGACAUUUGUGAAUUACUUUUUCGGCUAGUUGCCGUUGUUGGCCAUUGAGCAUAUUAUAUCGAUUGCCACAGCUCGUGAGCAUCUUCAUGUACACCAGCGGUCUGAUCUACCGCAAGAAGGUAUUCUUUUCUAAAAAGUGGUCGUACUUCCGACCCGUGAGCCCUACAAGGUGCUUGUUAGGGUUAUAUGCCAGGUGGGCGAGCAAAAUGUGAUUUAGCCUGAGGUCUUUUGACCAAUACGCCAGUGGUUUUGGUUGUUGGUUUCGUUCACCCAGUUGAUGCAUUGGUGCGUUCUAUGGUUAGUUACUGUAGCAGAUAGUUAUAUACCGAUUAGAAGUUGCAGUUCCUUCCUAGUCAUUAUUGCUACUAUUCUAAUACACAUGUUGAUUAUACUCAGUUGUUGAUUCCUACUUUAUCUUACAGUAGCGGUAUUUUUGCAUAUACUACCUGCUAUUAUAUCAUUGCUACUGACCUUACGAUAUCUGUUCAUUACUUUGAUUAUCUCUUCCUUUGCCGAUGAGUACCCCUCGCCUUUGUCGGCUUGCGAUACCCACUGGGAGGGGAGACAUGUUUACAUGUUCUCACCCCCCACCAUUUUUCAGGUGAUGCGGGCAGUGAGGGUCGGGUGGUGCAUAAGGACAAUACUAAAUAGCCGCGUUCCAGAUCCGUCUGUUGUUGACGUUUACUAUAAUUCGGUUGGAUUAGUUUAGUUCUUUACCUAACAAUGUUUAAAUAUAAUCAAGGUAUGUGAAUCAUAGUUUUCAUAUGAUCAUUACAUUAUUUGUAUUGUGUGGUUGUAUUUGUGGUUGACUAUGUUUUGAGUUGCUACGCCGUAUAUGUACAAGGGAGACUCUGUCCGUCUAUACAGGGCAUCCUUUGUCCAUGUGGUGGGUCUGUGUGCAUUCGCGGGGUGUUCUCAAAGGUGUUAAAAAAAAAAAUUUAGAGGUUUUCCACUAGCUUUCCUUAAAAAAAAAUUCAAAUUAAAAGAUUCCCAGGGCGUGACUUUGUGUAAGGAAGUGAAUUCUCGAAAUCCGAGAGUUGGACUUCGCUCAGAAUCGACUAAUUGUCGAGAAGAUAUGCUUCGGAAAAGCCGAAGAAGUCAGAAAACCGAAAAGUGCAUUGGCGAGGGCCUCGAAGAGCAAAGGAAUGGAAAUCUGCAACUUUACAGAUUUUGCUCUCGGGGACCGGUCCAUGGUGGGAAGGACCGGUUCCCGUAAGCCUGGUAUGCAGCAGAAAAUCUCUGCGCACAAAGUUUGCUCUCGGGGUCUUGUCCCUCGUGGAGAGACCGGUCCCUGAAGGUCCGGUCCCUCAGGCUAGGACCGGUCCCCGUACGCGUGGAAAAUGGAUCAGGGUGUCCUGCGAGAGAUCUGCUCUCGGGGACCGAUCCCUCUGGGGGAGAGACCGGUCCCCGUGUGCGUGAGAGGCAGCUGCAAGCUGCUGCAUGAAGAGCAAUGCUCUCGGGAACCGGUCCCUGGCUAGAAAUACCGGUCCCUGAGCGCGAAAAUGGCCCAGUCUGGGCAGUGUGAGAGAGACAAAGUGGAGGGACUCUAAUGCAAUUGUCGCAUUAGUUGAGGGUAUAGAUGGGAGACCAGUCUCUCCCUCUCUCAUUUUCACACCCCACUCUCUCUCUAAGCUCUCUCUCUCCCUCUCUCUUGAAGUGAGGAAGGAGAAGAAGAAAAGGAAGAAGAAGAAGGUAAAGAAGAAGGAGAGCAAGCAAGAGAACACUUUGGUCAUCUUCUUCUUCCUCCUCUUCACCAUUGGAGCUUGCUUAGGAGGUAAGCUCAUGAGCUCUGUCACGCCUCGAGCUCCAUUUUUAGUUUCAAAACACAGCGGAAGGGUCUAUUUUUUUUAAAAAAAAAACCUGACCCCCAUAGUAUGCCAGAUCCGCCACAAAUACAGGGAGCCCAUUGUUCACACGGACAGAGUCUCCCAUGUAUUUGCACGGCGUCGCACGAGUACAAAAAUAUAACCAGGAUACAACCACUAUCACUGAACAUACAAAUAUCCAUACAUUCGUACAUCCAUACACCAUUCACCACAGGUUCAUAUACAGAGAUUUGAACAUAAAUCCAGAUUUAUCAGUUGAAAUGUUUCCUACCCGGAAACUCAUUUUGAAAUACUACUUUAUGAAAACCACAAGAAAACCUUUUCAAAACUGUUUCCAACACGGAAAUCUUUUUCUUUUUAAAACACGCUACCACGAGGGGUAGAAAACCGUUUUCAUCUAAAAAAAAACCAUAAGUUCUUUAAUUUAUUUACUAAAAUCACAUUUAUUCAAUUAAACAAAAACCAACUGAACCAAUAUAUCAAAGAUAUAACAACAGAAAUAAAAAGGCUAGCAACUAAACUAAACCAACCGGGUCGGAAGCUCUAUUGACCGCUACGAACGUGUCUCACAUCUCGUCUCAACCCUCACUGCCCGCAAUGCCUGAAAAAUGGUGGGGGAGGUAAGAACAUGUAAACAUGUCUCCCCUCCCAGUGGGUACCGCAAGCCGAAGAAGGCGAGGAGUACUCACCGGAUUAGGAAGAGAUAAAUAACAUGGGUAAGUGAAAUACAGUAGCAACGAUAAUGAACGAAUGAGAUAUAUAUAUAUGAAAGAACAACUACCGCUACUGUAACGAAGAACUGAAAGCAUACAAGGAUAUCAAAACUAUAGUAGCAAGACAACUGUAAAGAAAGACUAUAAGUAUACAUGCAACAACCGCUACUAUAGCUAUAUGCAUCAACCGGACGAGAAGUCCAAAUAUACCCAAUCUGAAAACUUGGCCCUGUUGGUCCGCACGGCAGACCUCAAGCCUGUCACGCCCCACCCCGAAUCCACUACCAAUUUGGCACGGUUCGGGCGCGCCGGACGGACCGCCGAACGGACAGCACCUCUCCUAUCCGCCCAAGGCUAAACACCCAGAUCAUGUACAAAUAAGCGCCCAGGAAAUGCUUAGAUAACAUACACGAUCGAUAAGAUGCACACAAGUGCAAUACAUCUAAGAGCAAGAACCACAAGUAGAUACAAGUGUAUAAAGAGAGAUAGUCUAACUAUUACAACCAUUCAACAUUUGAAUAUAUUACAUUUUCAACUUCCAAAUGCAAGUACAUGUUUUCCUCAAAAUAUAAGUAGCUCUCUAAUAACCAUCCAAAACAUCAUCUAGUACACGAGGGUACUCUAAUGCAUAAAGGAAAAGCUACUAUCUAAGCUCACUUAGGGCGCUAUGCCCUUGCCGCGGUCCUCGCUCGACUCGCCUCUGUGUGUACCUGUACCCCAAAACCACACGGGGUGAGAACUAUAUAAAUAUAGUUCCCAGUGGGUUCGGCCGCCGACGCCGCCGGUUUUCCCACUAGGUCUAAGCUGGCACAGAUAGAGAGAUAGAUAGAUAUAUAGAGAAUGAACUGCAACUACUCUAUCAUGCCAUCAAUGAUAAUAAUGCAUGAAACAACUACUAUCAUGCUAGUAUCAUGUCAUAAGUAUAGAAAAGUACAUAACAAUGCAAACUGCAACAUACACUAUGUCUACUCAAGGUAAUAAUGCAAAUCUACUAUGCAUUUCAUGUUUAUUACCCAAUCUACUUGGCUAACCCGUAGGUUAAACCCUCGACUCACUCUCAAUCUCAUAGGUGAGGAGAAGCUGCACUCGCACACUGAGACCGUCUGCGGGACAACUACGUCUGCCCCUAGUAAAGUACUCCGGAGACUCAUGCCACAGUGGAGCGACCACCGACGGCGAAAACAAACUAGUGAGUAUGAUCCAAUCCUCACAAGAGGAUACCCUAUCUACAAGGGUCAACGUGCCUCUGCUGCACAAUAUACAAUGCAUCCUAGAUGCCGGGAUCUCAACUAUCCCUAAGUUCACGUCAAGUUUACUACACUAGACUCGAUGCCACUCGUUCGGUCAUUGUAGUAAGUUUUCUACUAGUUGACAUGCCACUCGUUUCAAUUUAGUGUUUCUACUACACUAGUUCAAUGCCACUCUACUAGGCUAUCAUAUGUCCAAGUUCGGCUCUUUAUGCCGCUAUAGGAUUCUAUGUCACAAAACCCAAUCCUCAUGCUAUCCUAGUCCACGUGUCAAGCUCACCCCGCUACACUACCAAGAAAGCAUGCAAGGAAAUGGAAAUGUACAACUACUAUUCCUAUAGCACAAUAUGAUCAAUAUAAUUAACUUAGACAUAAAAGAAAACCCGGAUGUUUCGGGAUGACACCCCCCACCUUUUGUGUAUAAGGAGGCUCUAGAAAUGCGCUUCGGCGUUCUUUACGACGAAGCCUCGGUCUCCUUGGUCCAAAUGACGCUCAAUCGGCCUUGUUUCGCCGAUAGCUCUUGACCCGCUCGACGAAUGCGAAAUCCGACUUCGCCCCCGCGUUUUGGCACCUACCAAUUAGGUUUACAAGGCCUCAAAUGAGAUCAAGCUCAUACUUUACCAAAAACCCUAUUUUGGUGCCCUAGGGUUCCCAUCUUGCCAUUUGCAAUUUGGAACCCUAACUCUAGCUUCAAUCCUCCAACAAUGGUGCUAGGGGUCCAUUUGACCCCAUUUCCAAAGCUCAAAACCCAAAAACCCUAAGUUUCAUAGCUAGGGUUUGUAGCCUACCUCUUGUUGUAGCUUCAAGAGAGAAGAGAGGAUGAAGGAGAGGUCCAAAAGCCUUCUUUUGUUGAUCUCCUUCUUCUUCUCCUUCCUUUUCUCCCUUCAUUUCCUUCUCUUUUCCCUUCUUCUUCUUCUUCUUUCCCUUCUAGAGAGAGAGAGAGCAAUAAAGUGUGAGGGAGAGAGAGAGAGAGUGGGCUGAGGGAGAGUGAGAGGGAGAGAGGGACUAAUAAGCCCUCUAAUGUAACAAUAUCCAGUUAAAUCCCUCCACUUUUCACUCUGUGCACUGCCCUUACUGGGCUGCCUGCGCGCGAAGGGACCGGUCUCCCCGACUUGGGACCGGUCCCCGAGAGCUUCAGCUCGGGUCACGCGUUCGGGUACCGGUCUCUCCCAGAGAGACCGGUCCUCGGGAGACCGGUCCUUGCCUCUGAGACCGGUCCCCGAGAGCAACAUUUUCAGGACGUAGCCAAAUUUCUGGCUUUCUCGCUGGGAUCACGUUCGGGGACCGGUCCCUCACUGCCAGGGACCGGUUGCCUCAAGCAACCCCCGCAACACCAGCCGAUGGGACCGGUCUCUCCCUGCCAGGGACCGGUCCCCGAGAGCAGUUUUGCUCCAGUGCAGGUUUCGCACCAUUUGCUCUCGUGGACUCGUUUUCAAUGCACUUUUGGUGAUUUUAAUAUCUUUGGCUUUUCCAAAGCUCACCAACACGACCCUUGGUCGGUUCUGGAUGAAGUCUAAUCCUCGUAUUUCGAGAAUUCACUUCCUCACAAAGCCUAUGCCACUGCCACUCUACCUGUGUAUAACCCAAGGUAGCCUAUGGGCUCACAGGCUGCAUAUAACCCAAGGUAGCCUAUGGGUUCACGGGUUGGCCCCCUCUUGUGGUGGAUCAGACCGCUGGUGUUCGUGAAAUGCGUACGAGUCUCGGACGAUCAAUGCUGAUAUGCUCAAUAGCCAACCGUCGGCAACCAGUCGACAAUCACCGCCCCUCGGGGCAAACCGACCAAUAGGUCAUCACACUAUAAGGAAGCACAAGAACCGACCGCUCAGGUCAACUAGGAUGGAACCACUUAACACCCUAUCGAAGAUAUGCAAGUAUAAUCCAGAACUAACCAUCAACCACUAGCCGACAAUCCUACCCCUCAGGGUAUACCGACCGUAUAGGUCAUCACACAAUGAAAGUCACGAACUGACUAAUUAGGUCGCAAGCAUAUCCAACAGUAGAUCUGAGUAAACUAUAAUCAACCGUCGGCAACUAACCGACAAUCCCACCCCUCAGGGUAUACCUGUGUCACGCCCGAGUACCAGCGGAAGCAUAUCCGGUACGUGCACAGACCCGCCAUACACCUGCCGUAUAUAAGGCGUCUACAAGAACACAAGUCGCUAGGAAGAAAAACAUAGAAAAUCCUAUCCUGAUAUCAGAGCAAAGUACAAGUCGAUAAUACUAUCAACAAUAGCAUAAGGAGUACACAAUCCAAAAUCUCAACUAAAAGAGAAAAUAUCACAACUAUAGUAUCUGGUUCAACAGUAAAUAUACAUCACGAGGUAUACAAAAAAUAGGUACAAUGGUGGUCUCUCUAUAUAUAGGGACAUCACCCUCGGCCGUAACCCGAGUAGCAAGGUGAUCGACUAGCAUGCUCCUAGCAAUGUCUAGCUAGACGCGACUCCCUUGCCACGAUCCCUAGCCUCUCCUGUAACAGGCUCUGUAAAAACAACCACAAAAAGGGCGUGAGAACUAUUAACAAUAGUUCCCAGUGGGUAAGCCGCCAGCCUCGACGAAUUACACCACUAGGCUCAUGAUGUAAUGAAUGAAAGUAAAAGCAGUGAUUGCAUGAUAUAUCUAUAUGAUGCUAACAAGUAAUGAGCAUGUAAUCAACAUGUAAUCAUAAUUUCUGCAGUAAUGAAUCAAACUAUAUAAUAGAAACAUAGCCACUACUGUAUCAUGAACAUAAACAUGAACAUAAGCACGAAUGUGUAAGUACUACUGUACACUAUAACUGGUAAGCAUUCAUUACUGUCAUUUGUCAUUUAGAGCUUUCAUCUCAUUUAGAGUUUCCUUUCAUUCAUCAGGGCCUACCCAAGGUAGUCCGGCUUGCGCCGCGCCUAAUGGCCCCGUGGUAGUAUACACUCCCCACGGCAAUCCACUUCGGCACCCAAUCCCGCACGGGCGAGCAACUGUCGCGUAGGCCAACUCCGGAGUGCCGGCUUGUAGGGAGCGACCCUCACAAGCGUGUGCGAAUGAGCACGAUGGCAAGCAAGCAUAAUCCACAGUCCAAUAUGUCUCAAUUAUCAUGUUUUAGCUCACAAUAUUCUCGCUCUCGAUCCUUUGAUCGGAAUUUCAAUAUAACAAUUAUUGACAACAACUAGUAUCCACUAGACUAAUAAACAUGCGACAGUAAUGCUAAUUUACAUAUGGCAUUAGAAUCUUUCCACUAUCAUGGCACUAUCAACAUAGGCAAAAAGCAUGUCAUUGUUCUCUACUUUAGAGUCAAGAGAAUGUCAUUGUUCUCUACUUUAUAGAAGCAUUAUAAACUUAUCUCUUGGUUGUUCUACUGAACUAAACAAGAAUACUAUUAUGCAUGAAUACUUUUAUGCAUGAAUGCUCUCUACUUCAUAGAGGUUCUAUUUCAAUUAUAUCAAAUGUUAUAGUGACAUGUUCCAAGUACUUUACUAAUCACAAUAAUCACAAUUACACACAACUAUACCAAUUCUAUAGUCACAUAUAGAACAUAGGGGAGCUUCACUUGCUCUGGUUAGGUCAAACCCACCUAGUACUAAGCUCAAAUCAGUCCAAAGGAAUCCCAAGGAUCAGCUCCACUAGGUCUCAAUCCUGCUGAACACAAAGCAUGAAUAUCGUAUCAAAACUACAACCGAAAUGUCCAAUUUCGGCGCAAUUGCACUUAGUACAUAGUAAUAGCUUAAAUCCCUGUUUUGGCUCAGUUAAUACCUCAAGUUAAGCUUCCAAAAUCCCUCACGCAUCAGCCGGAGAUAAUCCGAAGGUCCGUUGCAAGCCCGCUGCGAACCAUUUCCAAAACAGCAACAAAGUCAUCAAAUACUAAUAAAUAUAGUCGGAAUCUUGCGAAUUCAGUUUUCUAACUGAAAUUCCUGCUUACCUCAGGUUAGAACACUUCUAGACCAGUCCCCAAGGUCACCAAAUUAGCUCAAAGUGGUUCAAAAACCUACUGCGAAGGAAUCAUUCCAAACUGCAUUAGUUACCCGAUUAAACUUCAUAUAGUUCCGAACUAGCUUCAUAAUUGGCUAAUUAUCUCUAUCAAGCUUCAAAGUAGCAUAUCCCUGGUCUAAGGAGAUUAAUUCACAGCUAAUUAACUCAUCUUUAAUUGCUGAAACCUCAGUUUAAAACAAUUGGAAGCAAAAACCUGAAAUUAAUACCCGAUUCGACUACUAGAACAUCGAUAACGAAAAAGUUGAGCCGAUUACCUUAUCAACCCUCCAACCAGCAACCUACUAGUCUAAAGCUGUGAAGAACCUUCCACAAUACUCUCUCACACGUCCACCAGGGCUCUGCGACACUCGCAAACAGCGGAGAACAAGCGGUGCGACAAAAACGAGCUAAAUCGGCGAUUUCUUUGUAGAGAAAGAAAAACCCUAGAGAGAGAGAGUAAGGAUGGUGCAAAGACCUUUCUCUGGGCUCUAGCAUCAUCUAUGGGGCUCCAGAGGUCGUGCUGGGGUCAAGUAGAUAUGGAUUAGAAGUGAAAUUACCAAAUUAACCUUGCUGCCACGUAUCUGCCAUUCUGUACCGGUACACCAAGCAAAAAAAUACUGAUUUCGCCAAAUCAAUGCACUUUCUUGCUUUUAGCUUUCCAAACACCCUCUAACUUGUCCAAAAACUUGUCCAAGCCUUUUAGAACAUAUAGGAUAGAUCCACAUAUCAUUCCUCACACUCGAACUUCGCAAUUUGCAAAAGUUCAGUGUAUUACAACCUGUAAGGUACCGGACUUUUAAAAUCAUGAAGUUACGAUGUACAUUUGGUUGGAGAGCCAUUAGAAUGGUUCCGGUGAAGUUCCGGUUAAGUCCGGAAGCAUUCGGGCGUUUUCGGUGCGCGUAAGCGCUAAAACGGAGCCCGAAAGGCUAUGUUUGUGACACACGGGACCUUUGUAAAUUGCGAGGUUUGAGUGAUUGGAUGUGUUCCGAGCUAUUCCACACUUGGUGGAGGGUCGUAGAAUGUUUUUCGACCUAAAAAGUUCGAAAACCUGAGUUCUGGACGAGUCCUGAGAGUUUUUACUCUCGAGGACCGGUCCCUAAUAGGAGAGACCGGUCCCCCAGUGAGCAGUGUUGCGGCCAGCCUGAGGCAACCGGUCCCGGGCGGGGAGAGACCGGUUCCCGAACAAUGGUUUUUCGGGUUCGACACGAGAGACCGGUCCCAUGCAGGGAGAGACCGGUCCCUCUGGGCGAAAAUUGCCCAGUCCGGGCUGAUGUAAAUUUGAGUUUUUGAGGGGCCUCUCUGGAUUUUGUUACUCUAAAUGGUCUAUAUGGUCAUUUCACUCUCUUCUCUCCUCAUUUCUCACCCUCUCCCCAUACCCUCUAGAGAGAGAAGAAGAAGGAGGAGGAGAAGAAGAAGAGGAGGAGCUUGCUUGAGGGAGCUUGGAGCUUCAACCCUUUCUCUCCUUCCUACCCUUGCAAGGCUUGGAGCUUGCUUGUUGGGCUUGGUGGUGGACCAAUCUUCAACCCUAGAAGAUUUGGAGCUUAUUUGGAGGCAUCUAGAGAGGUUAGUACUUUGAUUCUAACCUUUGAUCCUUGUAUUGGUAGGUUUUUACCAUAUGGAACCCUAGAAUGGGAUUUUAGGGUUGAUUUUGGGGCUUUUUGAUCUAGG